UGCUGUGAUUUUCAGGCUGAUAUCAUUCAAUUUGACCAUUUAGAACAGGGGGAACGCAUCCUGACAGUCAUUAUCUGGGACUAGGGGAAACACAUCUCGACGGGGAAACAGAUCUCGACACAACACCGGCCUCAAGCAACCCAGGCUUUGGACGGCGCCCCCGAGGAUGACACCACCGUGGAAAUGGAAAUGGGUGAAAACACUGUCUCUGGUUGUACUGAGUUGGCUUCGACACCUCUGAUGGAAGACCACGAUUACACAGCCAGCUCUUUCAUCGUGGUCGACCGUGAGAAAUUUGAGAGCAUGUCGAGGCAGAUCGAGGAGCUCACACGGCAAAUCGAAACACUGCACAUGGAGAGAUUUGGAUUGCAACGGUUUUCUACAUCACCUAGUGACAUUCGCUACUAUUCCAGAUUUCCAUCAUAUGAACAUUUGAUGGCCUUUUGGGAUCUAAUUCAAGAGGCAACAAGCAGAAUGGUGAGAGUCACCAGUGGUCAGAAGAACCUCUCCACCAGUACAUCCACUGAGACCCCUAUGAACAGACCAACAAAACUGCUGCCAAUUGACGAGCUCUUCCUCUUCCUCAACUACCUGUCAACCGGCUGUACACAAAGGGAGCUUGGUCACAAGUUCAAUAUCCACAGAGCAACAGCAAGCAGAAUAAUUGUGACGUGGUCCAACUUUUUGUAUACUUUGCUUGGAUCGCGUUAGCAUGACGUGUCACUGCCUGUU